CAGGACGAACGCUGGCGGCGUGCCUAAUACAUGCAAGUCGAACGGUCUUUCUAUGGAAGCUUGCUUCCACUGAGAAGAUAGUGGCGAACGGGUGAGUAACACGUGGGUAACCUGCCCAUAAGAGGGGGAGUAACAUCCGGAAACGGGUGCUAAUACCGCAUAGUUUUCUUGAUUGCAUGAUUGAGAAGGAAAGACGGCCUUUGUGCUGUCGCUUAUGGAUGGACCCGCGGCGUAUUAGUUAGUUGGUGAGGUAACGGCUCACCAAGACGAUGAUACGUAGCCGACCUGAGAGGGUGAUCGGCCACAUUGGGACUGAGACACGGCCCAAACUCCUACGGGAGGCAGCAGUAGGGAAUCUUCCGCAAUGGACGAAAGUCUGACGGAGCAACGCCGCGUGAGUGAAGAAAAGGUUUUCGGAUCGUAAAACUCUGUUGUCAGAGAAGAACAAGUUGGAGAGUAACUGCUCCAGCCUUGACGGUAUCUGACCAGAAAGCCACGGCUAACUACGUGCCAGCAGCCGC
rnacentral:rRNA from 1 species